rnacentral:rRNA from 1 species
UACGUAGGGUCCGAGCGUUGUCCGGAAUUAUUGGGGCGUAAAGGGCUCGUAGGCGGUUCGUCACGUCGGGGAGUGAAAAACUCGGAGCUUAACUCCGAGCCUGCUUCCGAUACGGGCAGACUAGAGGUAGGCAGGGGAGAGCGGAACUCCUGGUGUAGCGGUGGAAUGCGCAGAUAUCAGGAAGAACACCGGUGGCGAAGGCGGUGCUCUGGGCCAGUACUGACGCUGAAUAGCGAAAGCGUGGGUAGCGAACAGG